AAUAAAAAAAAGGUACGAUGCAGAAAUUGUUAUAAAAACUUUAUGCAUUUUUUAUUUUGUUCACAUGAAACCGGUUUAUGAAGUUUAAAAAAGAACUAGUUAUGGGACCCGUGCGAUGCUGCGGGUAGUUAUUUUAAAAUUUAAUUUUAAAAAUUAGUUAUAAAAAUCAAUUUCAGAAUUUAAAUGGUGCAAUAAAUACAUCAAAAAAUUUUAGUAGGCAUAGUAGUCCCCCAUUAGUUAGUGAAAUAAUUUUAGUAGGUAUCGUAAGCCCUAGUAGUUAGUGAAUGAGAAGAGAAAUUAUUAUUUGUGAUUCUCGCAAUUAAUUUUCAUCAAAUAUAAAAUUAACUUAAGCUGCAUCAAUUUUUUUUAUUUUUUAAUAUACAAUUUAUAUGUGAAUGCUCAAUAUUAUAAAAUUAAUAUUAAUAUUUAAUACCAGUAGUCUAAAUUAUUUAACAUUUAUUUAUAUAUUUUACAUUUUAUAAAAAUAAAUAGUAAAUUAUAUAAUAAAUUAUUAUAUAAUAAUAUAUCUAUAUACAAAUAAAAUACUAUAUAUAAUAAAUAAAAAUAUAUUUAUAAAUAAAAUUAUAUAUAUAUAUAUA
rnacentral:lncRNA from 1 species